AACGCAGCAGUCUUUCAGAAUCCAAUGUGCGGUGUUCCUUCCUCUCCCAAAAACACAAGCUAUAAGAACUCUCUGGAAAGAAACAACAUAAAGCAAGCCGCUAAUAACAGUUUGCUUUUACAUCUUCUCAAAAGCCAGACCAUCCCCACGCCGAUGAACGGGCACAGCCAGCACGAGAGAGGAAGUAGUUUUGAGAGUAGCACACCCACCAC
rnacentral:lncRNA from 1 species